rnacentral:lncRNA from 1 species
UGGUCACCAAAAUGUUUAUGUAUGGAUAGGGUGGACAAAAUCUAGCAUGGCCUCAAAAAUUCUGACCCAUGCCAUGUGAGCAAGUCAUCAUUAAUUAGUAAACGAGGACAUCUCACAAACUCAAGUAUUAGUAACUCGCCUAUCUCCUAUACCGUCGCCCUUUGUAUGAGCUCACUAUAGUUGAAAGUGGAAUGAGCCACAUUUCUGUCACGGAAAGAUUCUCCCCUGUAUGAGGAUCCGACAACGAUUGAACCGGUUCCUGACCACCUUGAAAAGAUGUUAAAUCAACGUCUAUACGUAGACACUGCAUUCUCAUUUUUCACCACCACCACCACAGUACCAGCCAGCCCCACUUCUCCAACAAUAAAAGAAUAAUAUAUAUAUAUAUAGCUGUAAAUUGCGUCCUUACCAUUCCAUCGUCUUCAAUUAUUGAUAAUAUGAUUCAAUAAUACUUGACAGAACACUAUCUAUAUAGUUAAAGGCGGGAAUUCUUGUUUGUCACAAUUCACAACCUGGAAGCCAAUUUGCACUGAUGAAAUCCUGUCAUGAUCAAGUUGCAACUCGAGUUACAUAUUGGGCAACAAUAGCCAAGUGAUGUGGAGUAUUUGGCCUGUAGUAUUACCAUUAAAAGGUGUGGGAUUUCAAAUAUAAUUCAAAGCAUAGCUAGGGUUUUUAAGAACUUGUUUAAGAACUCAGAAGAAUAAACAUCCUCAUACGUAUGUAUGUAGAUAUAUAUAAAUAGGAACAAAAACAUGUACCUGGUGAUUAAGCCUCGCUAUUUCUUCUAGAGAUUGAGCUUCAUCCGGAAUUAUUAGGAAGUUUUAGCAGUUGAACCAAUAUUAAUUAAUUGAUAUGGAAUUCUAUUUGUAAUCUUGAAAUUAUUGGCCCAGUAAGAAAGAAGAGCAGCUGGCUGUUCCUAUUUGUCGUUAUAUCUAAUAUCUUGCAGCAACUUACUGUGAAAGAACUCGAAACAUUCUUCCUCCAUAUGGAUACAAAAAUAC